rnacentral:rRNA from 1 species
GACGAACGCUGGCGGCGUGCUUAACACAUGCAAGUCGAACGGACAGACCAUGCUCUUGCGCGGUGCUCGAGUGCCGAACGGGUGAGUAACACGCGUGUAACCCGCCCUUGACUUUCGGAUAAAAUCAGGAAACUGGGGCUCUAAUCCGGUAUGAGCUACUGCAGCGUAGUGGGGGUUGGUAAGAUUCGGCGGUAGGGGCUGGACGCGCGGCUUCUCAGCUUGUUUGUGGGGUAGUGGCUUACCAAGGCUUUGACGGGUAGCCUGCCUGAGAGGGUGACCGGCGACAUUGGGACUGAGAGACGGACCAGACGCCUACGGGAGGCAGCAGGGGGGAAUUUUGCACAAUGAGCGGACGCCUGAUGCAGCAGCGUCGCGUGCGGGAUACCGUCCUACGAGUUGUGAACCGCUUUCGACUGUGCCGAAGCGUGAGUGACGGUAAUGAGUAAAGAAGCACCGGCUAACUACGUG